GGGCAGCCAGCCCUAAGCCCAGCCAGGCCAGGCCUGAGGGUUUCACACUGUCUAGGAAGUAGACCCUUUCCAAAGGCAUUCUGCUUGAUAAUAAACUGUUGGGUAUUUUUCCACUUUCAUCUAUUACUAUUAAUUUCCCAUUGCUGGAAGGGGAUUGUUGGAACACUUUAGAAGAGAUGACUUAUUGCAGUGUCCUCUGACAGGCUGCUGACCCAAAGUGCGGCCAUGAUGGAGCAUUUCACGACUGAGGCCCACUCUCUUGUGGCCCAUGAACAGCGCUCCAAAAGGAGGCCCUUGGAGCUCUCCUGGACCACAGCGGCUGCCAGCAGCAACCUCCCUCUGAGUGGGGCCUCUCAGAGCCAGCGAGCUCUCAAGUUUGCUGCACUGGCCGGAUGACUGAUCAACAAUGGAUCCUGGGCCAAUAGCCCCACUCCUGGAGGCUCCAGUUGAACUCCUCUUAAGCUUGAGUGCUGUUAAGCUUUUAGGCCGUAUUCCCUUUUAUCUUUGUCCUUUCUAUCCCCUUCUCAAACACACCUAAACACAGGCACCCACACACACGUACACACACACAGAUAGUUCACAGUACAUUUCUCGAUUGAUUGCAUUUUGUUUGUUGCUUUUUUUUCCUUGUUGUGCCUUAAGCAACUAGUAAGUAGGAGUGUGAAUGCUGCCAUCGAGUUUUGUUGAGCUGUUGCUCAAUAUUCAAUCUGCUUUUUACUGAACUUUGCUGGAGAAUUUUUAAGUAAUAAGUAAUCUCAGACACUUGUUCAU